CCCACACAAAUUUCUCAACCAGAGAUAGAGCUCCAGCUCAGUCCAUAAAACAAACAACAUUUUCAUCAAGGUUUCAUUUCAAAUUCACUAUUGAACCAGACUGCCAAAUCAAAACCACCAAGAUGUUCAUCAACUCAAGGCUUUGUGACCAGGGGGACUAGCGCUGCUUUCCCAAGACAGGUUUUUAUGUGUAUGAUCUUCAGGCUUUGCCUAUCCAGGUUGAGCAGCUGAUGGAAUGGAAUGAUGUUGAGCGGGUGUUCUUUUGACAUUUCAAGAAAUGUAACCUUGAGUAUACAUCUUCAUAUGUAUAUCUCACACGUUUUUCCGCUGCAAAACACUUUGAUUAGAAUAACUCUAUGUUAUGAAGUUGUGACACGUGUUAUUGGAUAACCCACCUUAAUCAGUUCUCCUUCAUGUGUAUGUUUUAUAAGUAUCCAAAUGAUCAUAUAUGAUCCUAGCAUCUUAUC